CUUUUGUGCAAGAAAUUUGAAUACCCUGUCGGAGGUGACAUCAACUAUUCAGCUUUCAUACAGUCCAUUGACUCUGAGUACACCGGCACGGCGACCACCAUUUCAGACUUUGCACA